rnacentral:misc_RNA from 1 species
AACGCACAUUGCGCCCUUUGGUAUUCCGAAGGGCAUGCCUGUUCGAGCGUCAUGUAAACCUUCAAGCUACGCUUGGUGUUGGGCGCCUUGUCCCGCCUCCGCGCGAGGACACGCCUUGAAAUCAUCGGCGCCUGCCGGGACCGGCCAGGAGCGCAGCGCACAGCAGCUGCUCAAGGACCGGCCCGCGGGCUACCGUAAAGCAUCGUUAUACAUCACCUUGACCUCGGAUCAGGUAGGGAUACCCGCUGAACUUAA